UACGAAGGGGGCUAGCGUUGUUCGGAAUCACUGGGCGUAAAGGGCGCGUAGGCGGCUUUAUAAGUCGGGGGUGAAAGCCUGUGGCUCAACCACAGAAUUGCCUUCGAUACUGUAGAGCUUGAGACCGGAAGAGGUAAGUGGAACUGCGAGUGUAGAGGUGAAAUUCGUAGAUAUUCGCAAGAACACCAGUGGCGAAGGCGGCUUACUGGUCCGGUUCUGACGCUGAGGCGCGAAAGCUAGGGGAGCGAACGGG
rnacentral:rRNA from 1 species